rnacentral:lncRNA from 1 species
CCGUCCCCUCUCCUUUUCAUAGGAUUUUGAACAGGUGCUUUUUAUAAUUGAAAGGUAUGCAUGUCAAACCAGGGUUUCUUCAUGUGGUGUUCAAACAGGGCACUCGAACAUAAUCAGCAGUUACCAUCAGAGAUACCUCCUGAAAAUCAGUAUGAAGUCUGUUCUUGGUUCACGUGGUCCCCUUGGCAGUGCAUUUCCCAUGAGCCACCCUGGGGAAGGCUAUCCCUGGCCAUCCCGUUCUGGACUCAAGGUUUCAAGUGGUGGCUAUGAUCUGAAAAAUCCAAACCCGGCCAGCUCCAGUAUCAGGGGUCUUGCCUAACUUUCCCCUUCUAGUUUAGUGGUGACUAGGUCCUGAGAGGGCAAAUGUUCCCACUGUGCAACGAGGGCACCUUGUCACCCCUUCCUUUAUGAGACACUGGGGUUCCAGGGAAAGGUCCAGAAAAAAGGCUCAAUUGAGCACAGGGUUUUACUUAAUGCCAUUCCUGAUCGUUCUGAGUACCUGAAGCUGGAAGACAAAUCUGAACAACUGGGUAAUAAAUAGAGACUGGUAUCCUGUCUUGCCACUGUGUCUUACACAUGGGGGUAGAGGAAGUAGGCAGGCAUGUCUAUGACAGUCAGCAUUAGUCAGGGCAAUUAUAGGCUUUGCUACAGGGUUUCAAACUGCUCCAAAGGUAAGUGUGAAAAUCUUGGUUUUUCAGACCAUAAAAGAAGUAAUUUUGAUGUUCAAAAUGACAGGAUCUCGUGACAUCAUUUUCUUCUCAGAACAAGAUGGGGGAAAUUGCCAAGUUCUUUAACUAAGUUGAGUCCUUAGUGAGUCUGGAUGGAGCCACAAGAGGGCUCCUGGACCGCACGGCCUGCUCCUCGGCCAGAGCCUGUUAAGGAGCUUCCUUCUUCGUGUGUGACUUGCAAAGAGUCACAGAGCCUCAGGCAAGAAUCCAGGGGUACAGAUAGCCAGUUCCCAUAGAUGGUGACUUCCUCAUGUGUGGGCCACCUGUGUUUAGAUCACUGCCUGACAAAGGCCAGUGUAGAAAAAAUUGUACAUCCAAGAGUCAAGAACCUCACUACAUUGAAGAUAGAUUGGAAAAGUAAAUGCAGCUGAAAUGAUGUCAGCAGUGAAAUGUCAUCCAAUUGACCAAAAAAGAAAUAUUUUUCUACAAAACGUUUCCAGGGACAUGUUUACUGCACUAAGCAAUAGACACUUGAGUGGUGUGACUUUUUUGGAAGUGAUUUGGGGUUUUUCAAAUAUCACUUCACCCUCAUUUUCAGGGUGUAUGCCUUUAUGUCUGGCUUUGAUAAAACUGCUAAUGGAUGGCUACAUAAAAACAUAACGAUUCACGGACCCAAAAUACAGGUAGUUUUUGAGCUGACUGCAGCAUAUGCU